rnacentral:rRNA from 1 species
GUCGCAGGCUACACAUGCAGUCGAGCGGUAGCACAGAGAGCUUGCUCUCGGGUGACGAGCGGCGGACGGGUGAGUAAUGUCUGGGAAACUGCCUGAUGGAGGGGGAUAACUACUGGAAACGGUAGCUAAUACCGCAUAACGUCGCAAGACCAAAGUGGGGGACCUUCGGGCCUCAUGCCAUCAGAUGUGCCCAGAUGGGAUUAGCUAGUAGGUGGGGUAAUGGCUCACCUAGGCGACGAUCCCUAGCUGGUCUGAGAGGAUGACCAGCCACACUGGAACUGAGACACGGUCCAGACUCCUACGGGAGGCAGCAGUGGGGAAUAUUGCACAAUGGGCGCAAGCCUGAUGCAGCCAUGCCGCGUGUAUGAAGAAGGCCUUCGGGUUGUAAAGUACUUUCAGCGAGGAGGAAGGCGUUAAGGUUAAUAACCUUAGCGAUUGACGUUACUCGCAGAAGAAGCACCGGCUAACUCCGUGCCAGCAGCCGCGGUAAUACGGAGGGUGCAAGCGUUAAUCGGAAUUACUGGGCGUAAAGCGCACGCAGGCGGUCUGUCAAGUCGGAUGUGAAAUCCCCGGGCUCAACCUGGGAACUGCAUUCGAAACUGGCAGGCUAGAGUCUUGUAGAGGGGGGUAGAAUUCCAGGUGUAGCGGUGAAAUGCGUAGAGAUCUGGAGGAAUACCGGUGGCGAAGGCGGCCCCCUGGACAAAGACUGACGCUCAGGUGCGAAAGCGUGGGGAGCAAACAGGAUUAGAUACCCUGGUAGUCCACGCCGUAAACGAUGUCGACUUGGAGGUUGUGCCCUUGAGGCGUGGCUUCCGGAGCUAACGCGUUAAGUCGACCGCCUGGGGAGUACGGCCGCAAGGUUAAAACUCAAAUGAAUUGACGGGGGCCCGCACAAGCGGUGGAGCAUGUGGUUUAAUUCGAUGCAACGCGAAGAACCUUACCUACUCUUGACAUCCAGAGAACUUAGCAGAGAUGCUUUGGUGCCUUCGGGAACUCUGAGACAGGUGCUGCAUGGCUGUCGUCAGCUCGUGUUGUGAAAUGUUGGGUUAAGUCCCGCAACGAGCGCAACCCUUAUCCUUUGUUGCCAGCGGUCCGGCCGGGAACUCAAAGGAGACUGCCAGUGAUAAACUGGAGGAAGGUGGGGAUGACGUCAAGUCAUCAUGGCCCUUACGAGUAGGGCUACACACGUGCUACAAUGGCAUAUACAAAGAGAAGCGACCUCGCGAGAGCAAGCGGACCUCAUAAAGUAUGUCGUAGUCCGGAUUGGAGUCUGCAACUCGACUCCAUGAAGUCGGAAUCGCUAGUAAUCGUAGAUCAGAAUGCUACGGUGAAUACGUUCCCGGGCCUUGUACACACCGCCCGUCACACCAUGGGAGUGGGUUGCAAAAGAAGUAGGUAGCUUAACCUUCGGGAGGGCGCUACCACUUGGAU